AUUGAACGCUGGCGGCAGGCCUAACACAUGCAAGUCGAGCGGAGCGGCGGACGGGUGAGUAAUGCCUAGGAAUCUGCCUGGUGGUGGGGGAUAAAGUCCGGAAAAGGGAGCUAAUAACGCAUACAAUCAGAUGAGCCUAGGUCGUAUUAGCUAGUUGGUGGGGUAAAGGCCUACCAAGGCGACGAGCCGUAACUGGUCCGAGAGGAUGAUCAGUCACACUGGAACUGAGACACGGGCCAGACUCCUACGUGAGGCAGCAGUGGGGAAUAUUGGACAAUGGGCGAAAGGCUGAUCCAGCCAUGCCGCGUGUGUGAAGAAGGUCUUCGGAUUGUAAAGCACUUUAAGUUGGGAGGAGGGAACAACAGAAUAAACACCGGCUAACUUCGUACCAGCCGCCGCGGUAAUAC
rnacentral:rRNA from 1 species